rnacentral:sRNA from 1 species
CUUACUACUUUGUAUGAGAACUUAAGUAUACACAACCAGCAGUUAGAAGAAGAGGUUAAAGAUCUAGCAGACAAGAAAGAAUCAGUUGCACAUUGGGAAGCCCAAAUCACAGAAAUAAUUCAGUGGGUCAGCGAUGAAAAGGAUGCACGAGGGUAUCUUCAGGCCUUAGCUUCUAAAAUGACUGAAGAAUUGGAGGCAUUAAGAAAUUCCAGCUUGGGUACACGAGCAACAGAUAUGCCCUGGAAAAUGCGUCGUUUUGCGAAACUGGAUAUGUCAGCUAGACUGGAGUUGCAGUCGGCUCUGGAUGCAGAAAUAAGAGCCAAACAGGCCAUCCAAGAAGAGUUGAAUAAAGUUAAAGCAUCUAAUAUCAUAACAGAAUGUAAACUAAAAGAUUCAGAGAAGAAGAACUUGGAACUACUCUCAGAAAUCGAACAGCUGAUAAAGGACACUGAAGAGCUUAGAUCUGAAAAGGGUAUAGAGCACCAAGACUCACAGCAUUCUUUCUUGGCAUUUUUGAAUACGCCUACCGAUGCUCUGGAUCAAUUUGAAGUAAGUAUUAAACAUGUCACAUAUCCUCUGGGGUCAAUUUAAAAUUCACUUUGUAAUUUAAAGUUCACUUAUAAUAAAACCAUUUUAUUGCUUCCCACAUCAGAGGACCUAGAAUCUUAAAUAAACAAAAACAUAUUAGCAGAGGAAUAUGUUCUGCAUUCUUAUGGAGACUAUAAUCCCACCUCUGUUUAACAAAACAUCUAAGAAAGAUUUAAUCAUGAGAGUCAUUAUAAGAUUUAAAAGCAAUUUCAUCUCCCUUAAGAAACGUUAAGAGCAGAACAAAUCCCAACUUUUGAAAUAAUUUGACAAUUUUUUAAUUCUCCAAAGCAUAGUGCCACAAUAAAAAGUGAGAAAAUGUCAAAGCUGACAAUAAGGUAUUGCUGGUUCUUAUUUCAAAUCAAUUCAUCUUUUAAAAACUAUACAGUAAGAAGUGCUUUUUGUUAAAAGGUGUUACAUAGACUCUGUUAGGCAUAUCACACAGUAAUGAAAUUGUGAUUAUGUAACUCUUGAUCAUUCCUUGGUAUUUAAAUUCUUUGCUUUAAAAAAAUCAACUUACUGUUAUCAAGUAUAUUUUUAUCUCAGUAAAUUUAAGUGUGAUUAUAUCUUUAUUGAACAAAUAAUAAUCAUGUAGCUUUGUGCAAGGCACUGUUGUAAGUGCUGGAGAUAUAGUAGUGACCAAAAUAGACAAAGUCCUUCCUACUAGAACUUACAUUCCAGUGUGAAGAAUUAGAAGCCUCAGGAAUUCCAUUGCUUACUUUUAGUUGUUACUUCAAAAGUACUUACAUUUAAUUUGAUUAUUAAUUAUUUGUCAUGAGCUUCAUUUUAUUACAUUUUGGGCACAGUAUGUGAAUUGUGUUUCGUUCCUUUAGGAAAAGGAAAAAUAAUCACUCUUUAAAAAGUAAUUAAUGAAUCUCUUAAGUUUCUCAAGAACAAUGAUAGUGACUGCUUUUCUCAUUUAUUUAUUUGAAUUAAUGUCAUUUGCCUUUCAAUUGUUUUACAAAGUUUUGAUUUAUUAUUAUUAUUAAAUUGCUUCAUCCAUAUUUUCUAUUUUUUUAUUGCUGUAUUCGUUAAAUAGGAUUCCUUUUCUUCUUCCUCAUCUUCACUGAUUGAUUUUUUGGAUGACGUAAGUCUUUGAUUUUCAAACCAAUGCAUCCUUCAGUAAAAAAGAUCAGUGAAUUGAUUUGAAGAAUUUGCCUAGUAAUGCAGUCAGUUUUAGAAAUACCACAUUUGAAAAUUUAUGUGAGCCAAAAUAUGCUUCUUUCUUAUCUUAAAUAUAACGAAGGAUUUAUCAGUAUUAAACAUAAUGAAGU